GAUGAACGCUGGCGGCGUGCCUAAUACAUGCAAGUCGACCGAACGGACGAGAAGCUUGCUUCUCUGAUGUUAGCGGCGGACGGGUGAGUAACACGUGGAUAACCUACCUAUAAGACUGGGAUAACUUCGGGAAACCGUAGCUAAUACCGGAUAAUAUUUUGAACCGCAUGGUUCAAAAGUGAAAGACGGUCUUGCUGUCACUUAUAGAUGGAUCCGCGCUGCAUUAGCUAGUUGGUAAGGUAACGGCUUACCAAGGCAACGAUGCAUAGCCGACCUGAGAGGGUGAUCGGCCACACUGGAACUGAGACACGGUCCAGACUCCUACGGGAGGCAGCAGUAGGGAAUCUUCCGCAAUGGGCGAAAGCCUGACGGAGCAACGCCGCGUGAGUGAUGAAGGUCUUCGGAUCGUAAAACUCUGUUAUUAGGGAAGAACAUAUGUGUAAGUAACUGUGCACAUCUUGACGGUACCUAAUCAGAAAGCCACGGCUAACUACGUG
rnacentral:rRNA from 1 species